GCGUCAGUGGUUUAGUGGUAAAAUCCAUCGUUGCCAUGUGGUAAAAUCCAUCGUUGCCAUCGAUGGGCCCCGCGUUCGAUUCGCGGCUGACGCA